rnacentral:rRNA from 1 species
GAUGAACGCUGGCGGCGUGCCUAAUACAUGCAAGUCGAGCGAACGGACGAGAAGCUUGCUUUUCUGAUGUUAGCGGCGGACGGGUGAGUAACACAUGGAUAACCUACCUAUAAGACUGGGAUAACUUCGGGAAACCGGAGCUAAUACCGGAUAAUAUUUUGAACCGCAUGGUUCAAAAGUGAAAGACGGUCUUGCUGUCACUUAUAGAUGGAUCCGCGCUGCAUUAGCUAGUUGGUAAGGUAACGGCUUACCAAGGCAACGAUGCAUAGCCGACCUGAGAGGGUGAUCGGCCACACUGGAACUGAGACACGGUCCAGACUCCUACGGGAGGCAGCAGUAGGGAAUCUUCCGCAAUGGGCGAAAGCCUGACGGAGCAACGCCGCGUGAGUGAUGAAGGUCUUCGGAUCGUAAAACUCUGUUAUUAGGGAAGAACAUACGUGUAAGUAACUGUGCACAUCUUGACGGUACCUAAUCAGAAAGCCACGGCUAACUACGUG